UGGUUCUGGCAUCGAUGAAGAACGCAGCGAAAUGCGAUAAGUAAUGUGAAUUGCAGAAUUCAGUGAAUCAUCGAAUCUUUGAACGCACAUUGCGCCCCUUGGUAUUCCGGGGGGCAUGCCUGUUCGAGCGUCAUUACAACCCUCAAGCUCUGCUUGGUAUUGGGCCUCACCCGGAAGGGCGUGCUCUAAAAUCAGUGGCGGUGCCAUCUGGCUCUAAGCGUAGUAAAUCUCUCGCUAUAGGGUCCCAUGGUUACCUGCCAACAACCCCCAAUUCUUUCAGGUUGACCUCGGAUCAGGUAGGGAUACCCGCUGA
rnacentral:misc_RNA from 1 species